rnacentral:rRNA from 1 species
UACGAAGGGUGCAAGCGUUACUCGGAAUUACUGGGCGUAAAGCGUGCGUAGGUGGUUCGUUAAGUCUGUCGUGAAAGCCCCGGGCUCAACCUGGGAAUGGCGAUGGAUACUGGCGAGCUAGAGUGCGGUAGAGGAGAGUGGAAUUCCUGGUGUAGCGGCGAAAUGCGCAGAUAUCAGGAGGAACACCAAUGGCGAAGGCAGCUCGCUGGGACGGUACUGACGCUGAGACGCGAAAGCGUGGGGAGCAAACAGG